CACGUAGGCGGACUGUUAAGUCGGGGGUGAAAUCCUGGGGCUCAACCUCAGAAUUGCCUCCGAUACUGGCAGUCUCGAGUACGGGAGAGGUGAGUGGAAUUCCCAGUGUAGAGGUGAAAUUCGUAGAUAUUGGGAAGAACACCAGUGGCGAAGGCGGCUUACUGGACACAUAUUGACGCUGAGGUGCGAAAGCGUGGGAGCAAACA
rnacentral:rRNA from 1 species